AUCCCAUAACACUCAUACCAACUGGAGUGCAAAUUAGGCCCCCACGCCUCUGUGAUGCAAGCAUGGGGGAGGGACUGUAACCAGAAGAAAAGAUCCAGACAUAGUAGUAGUUUGGUUCCUUUACCACUGUGUUCUUGCCCCAGCAGGGCACACCUAUGUAAAAUAAAAUAAUGAAAUAAAAAUGUCCCCUGGGCAACAGAUUUGGGAAUCUCAAUGAAUUCCAGGUGAUUCUGGACUUCCGAGUGGUGAAGGAAUCACAGAGUGAGCAGAGAAGCCCCAUUGUAUUAGUUCUGACAGAGGUUAGCACAACCCAUUUCUGCAUGGA